rnacentral:rRNA from 1 species
GAUGAACGCUGGCGGCGUGCCUAAUACAUGCGAGUCGAGCGAACAGACGAGGAGCUUGCUCCUCUGACGUUAGCGGCGGACGGGUGAGUAACACGUGGAUAACCUACCUAUAAGACUGGGAUAACUUCGGGAAACCGGAGCUAAUACCGGAUAAUAUAUUGAACCGCAUGGUUCAAUAGUGAAAGACGGUUUUGCUGUCACUUCUAGAUGGAUCCGCGCCGCAUUAGCUAGUUGGUAAGGUAACGGCUUACCAAGGCAACGAUGCGUAGCCGACCUGAGAGGGUGAUCGGCCACACUGGAACUGAGACACGGUCCAGACUCCUACGGGAGGCAGCAGUAGGGAAUCUUCCGCAAUGGGCGAAAGCUUGACGGAGCAACGCCGCGUGAGUGAUGAAGGUCUUCGGAUCGUAAAACUCUGUUAUUAGGGAAGAACAAAUGUGUAAGUAACUAUGCACGUCGUGACGGUACCCAAUCAGAAAGCCACGGCUAACUACGUG